ACACUCAUUCAGUUGGUUAGGAUACUCGGCUCUCACCUGAGAGACCCGGGUUCAAGUCCCGGAAUUUU